AGCGAACGCUGGCGGCGUGCCUAACACAUGCAAGUCGAACGUGAAAGGGAGCAAUCCCACGUAAAGUGGCGUACGGGUGAGUAACACGUAGGUAAUCUACCCCAGAAUCUGGAAUAACCGGCCGAAAGGCUGGCUAAUACUGGAUAGAGCGACGGAAUCCGUAAUUGGGUUUUUCGGGAAAGGGAGCCUGUAAAAAGGCCUUCGUUCUGGGAUGAGCCUGCGUCCCAUCAGCUAGUUGGUGAGGUAAAAGCUUACCAAGGCAAUGACGGGUAGCUGGUCUUAGAGGAGUAUCAGCCACACUUGGACUUAAACACGGGCCAGACUCCUUCGGGAGGCAGCAGUGGGGAAUCUUGCGCAAUGGACGGAAGUCUUACGCGGGAACGCCGCGUUAGGGGAGAAGGCCCUCGGGCUGUAAAGCUCUGUCUAGUGGGACGAAAAUGCUUGGAGUUCACAGCUCCAGGAACUGACGGUACCACUAAAGGAAGCACCGGCUAACUCCGUG
rnacentral:rRNA from 1 species